UACGUAGGUGGCGAGCGUUGUCCGGAAUUAUUGGGCGUAAAGGGAGCGCAGGCGGUCUAAUAAGUCUGAUGUGAAAGGUCAUAGCUCAACUAUGGACGUGCAUCAGAAACUGUAAGACUUGAGUGCUAGAGAGGUCAGUGGAACUCCAUGUGUAGCGGUGAAAUGCGUAGAUAUAUGGAAGAACAUCAGUGGCGAAGGCGGCUGACUGGCUAGUAACUGACGCUGAGGCUCGAAAGCGUGGGUAGCGAACAGG
rnacentral:rRNA from 1 species